rnacentral:lncRNA from 1 species
UGUUUUGAGCCCUACUAAGAAGAGCGAAUAGUGAGUAGGGCGACUACACAUUUCAUCUUGUACAAUGACGAGAGCAAACAAGAUGGUUGGAUUUUUCUAUUUUUAGUCAGAGUACACCUGUAACCUCAACAAGGCUGAGGUAGGAAAAUUGUAAUGAGUUCCAGGGCCAAAAACUAAAACAAAUGUCUGCUCUCAAAAUAGAGCAAUGACACGGAGGGAAGAGAACGGUCACAUGUCGAGUGUAACUACUCCUGAAAGAUUUUGUCACCCAGUGACAUCACACCCAGAUUAUCUUGUGUAAGAACACACUGUGUUUGGACAAUGAUAAAGCAUUUCUCAGAACUCAUCUCUGUUGCCAAGCAACACCUCACUGUGUUGCCCGGGAAGCCCCUGUUCUCUUUACUUGGGGACCCUGUGUGAUUUAGCGGUCCUGACUCCCAGAAUCCCCUUUGUGGGCUGCAGUGCAUCAGAUUCCCCAGUGGGAACCCUGCAUCUCAGGGCUUUGAACCUUGGAUAUUUAGUGACUUUCUGGGAUGUUACCCAGGCUGUUUUCUGGAGGGGAGCUUACUGUCACCUGUCAGAGGGGAAAGUUCAUGUUGUAAUCUAGAAAGAACCUGAUUUUUCUUAGGGUCCACAUCUUUGAAAACGUGUCAAGUGUUUCUAUUUUUCUAACUAAGAAUUUCUGUAUCGGUUACUUUUGAAUAAAGUUUGGUGGGUUUUUUUUUUUUUCUCCU